GAUGAACGCUGGCGGCGUGCCUAACACAUGCAAGUCGAACGAAGCACCUUGAAGUUUUCGGACAGAUGGGUGACUGAGUGGCGGACGGGUGAGUAACGCGUGGGUAACCUGCCUCACACUGGGGGACAACAGUUAGAAAUGACUGCUAAUACCGCAUAAGCGCACAGUACCGCAUGGUACGGUGUGAAAAACUCCGGUGGUGUGAGAUGGACCCGCGUUGGAUUAGCUAGUUGGCAGGGGCAGCGGCCUACCAAGGCGACGAUCCAUAGCCGGCCUGAGAGGGUGAACGGCCACAUUGGGACUGAGACACGGCCCAG
rnacentral:rRNA from 1 species